UACGGUGGUCAUAGCGUAAGGGAAACACCCGGACCCAUUCCGAACCCGGAAGUUAAGCCUUACCACGCCGAUUGUACUGCAGCCGCCAGGCUGUGGGAGACUAGGACACCGCCGAAC
rnacentral:rRNA from 1 species